rnacentral:rRNA from 1 species
UGGGGAAUUUUGGACAAUGGGCGAAAGCCUGAUCCAGCAAUGCCGCGUGUGUGAAGAAGGCCUUCGGGUUGUAAAGCACUUUUGUCCGGAAAGAAAUACUUGGCUCUAAUACAGUCGGGGGAUGACGGUACCGGAAGAAUAAGCACCGGCUAACUACGUGCCAGCAGCCGCGGUAAUACGUAGGGUGCAAGCGUUAAUCGGAAUUACUGGGCGUAAAGCGUGCGCAGGCGGUUUGCUAAGACCGAUGUGAAAUCCCCGGGCUCAACCUGGGAACUGCAUUGGUGACUGGCAGGCUAGAGUAUGGCAGAGGGGGGUAGAAUUCCACGUGUAGCAGUGAAAUGCGUAGAGAUGUGGAGGAAUACCGAUGGCGAAGGCAGCCCCCUGGGCCAAUACUGACGCUCAUGCACGAAAGCGUGGGGAGCAAACAGGAUUAGAUACCCUGGUAGUCCACGCCCUAAACGAUGUCAACUAGUUGUUGGGGAUUCAUUCCUUAGUAACGUAGCUAACGCGUGAAGUUGACCGCCUGGGGAGUACGGUCGCAAGAUUAAAACUCAAAGGAAUUGACGGGGUCAUAGCUG